UGCAGUCGAACGCCCUAGCAAUAGGGAGUGGCGCACGGGUGAGUAACACGUGGGAAUAUGCCCUUCAGUACGGAACAACGUCGGGAAACUGACGCUAAUACCGUAUAACGUCUUCGGACCAAAGAUUUAUCGCUGAAGGAUUAGCCCGCGUAAGAUUAGGUAGUUGGUGAGGUAAUGGCUCACCAAGCCGACGAUCUUUAGCUGGUCUUAGAGGAUGAUCAGCCACACUGGGACUGAGACACGGCCCAGACUCCUACGGGAGGCAGCAGUGAGGAAUCUUGGACAAUGGGCGAAAGCCUGAUCCAGCCAUGCCGCGUGAGUGAUGAAGGCCUUCGGGUUGUAAAGCUCUUUCAGAUGUGAAGAUAAUGACGGUAGCAUCAGAAGAAGCUCCGGCUAACUCCGUGCCAGCAGCCGCGGUAAUACGGAGGGAGCGAGCGUUGUUCGGAAUUACUGGGCGUAAAGCGUAUGUAGGCGGUUUUCUAAGUCGGACGUGAAAGCUCCUGGCUCAACUGGGAGAGGCCGCUCGAAACUGGAAGACUUGAGGGUGGUAGAGGAGAGUGGAAUUCCCGGUGUAGUGGUGAAAUGCGUAGAUAUCGGGAGGAACACCAGUGGCGAAGGCGGCUCUCUGGGCCACACCUGACGCUCAGAUGCGAAAGCUAGGGGAGAGAACGGGAUUAGAAACCCCGGUAUUCCUAGCCGUAAACGAUGUCAACUAGGCGUAGGAGGUUAUUGACCCCUUCUGUGCUGUAGCUAACGCGUUAAGUUGACCGCCUGGGGACUACGGCCGCAAGGCUAAAACUCAAAGGAAUUGACGGGGACCCGCACAAGCAGCGGAGCGUGUGGUUUAAUUCGACGCAACGCGAAGAACCUUACCAGGGCUCGACAUCCCUUGACGCUUGUAGAGAUACAAGUUUCCUUUUUGGGACAAGGAGACAGGUGGGUGCAUGGGUUGUCGUCAGCUCCGUGUCGUGGAGAUGUUGGGGUUAAGUCCCCGCAACGAAGCGCAACCCCUUGUUCUUAAGUUGCCAGCAUUAAAGUUGGGC
rnacentral:rRNA from 1 species